rnacentral:rRNA from 1 species
UAGAAGAGAUAAUGCUAAAAUUAGUAAUAAGAGAGCCAGACUCUCUCCAGGCAUAAGUGUAAGUUAGAUCGGACUAACCACUAACAACUAACGGACCCAACAACAGAGGGACAAACAAUUGAAACAAUUAAACAAGAAAAGCUUGAACAAAGUUAACCGUUAACCCAACACAGGAAUGCCUCAAGGAAAGACUAAAAGGAGUAGAAGGAACUCGGCAAACACAAACCCCGCCUGUUUACCAAAAACAUCGCCUCUUGCUAACAAAAUGUAUUAGAGGUCCCGCCUGCCCUGUGACCACAAAGUUUAACGGCCGCGGUAUCCUGACCGUGCGAAGGUAGCGUAAUCACUUGUCUUUUAAAUGAAGACCUGUAUGAAUGGCAUAACGAGGGUUUAACUGUCUCCUACCCCCAGUCAAUGAAAUUGAUCUAUCCGUGCAGAAGCGGGUAUAAACACAUAAGACGAGAAGACCCUAUGGAGCUUUAGGCAAAGGACCAAACAUGUAAUAAACCACAAAAUCUAAAAGAAACAAUAAAUAGUAGCACAAACAAAUGUAACUGGCCCCAAAUGCCUUAGGUUGGGGCGACCACGGGGAAAAAAGAAACCCCCACAUGGAAUGGAAACACCCUCCUAAACCAAGAAUAACACCUCCAAGUAACAGAACAUCUGACCAAAAAUGACCCAGGACAAACUACCCUGAUCAAUGAACCAAGUUACCCUAGGGAUAACAGCGCAAUCCUUUCCCAGAGCCCAUAUCGACGAAAGGGUUUACGACCUCGAUGUUGGAUCAGGACAUCCUAAUGGUGCAGCCGCUAUUAAGGGUUCGUUUGUUCAACGAUUAAUAGUCCUACGUGAUCUGAGUUCAGACCGGAGUAAUCCAGGUCGGUUUCUAUCUAUGACAUUACUUCUUCCCAGUACGAAAGGACCGGAAAAAGAGGGCCUAUACUAAAAGCAAGCCCUACCCCCACCUUCUGAAAACAAAUAAAAAAU